rnacentral:rRNA from 1 species
AGCCUAAAGUUAUAAAAUUAUUUUAGGUGAAACCUGCCCAGUGAAAUUUUUCAACGGCCGCGGUACUUUGACCGUGCUAAGGUAGCAUAAUCACUUGACUUUUAAAUGGAGUCUGGAAUGAAUGGGAUAACGGAGUUAAGCUGUCUCUUUAUUAAUAUUUUGAAGUUACUAAUUAGGUGAAAAGGCCUAAAUAUGAAAAAAGACGAGAAGACCCUUAGAGUUUUUAUAUGUUUUGGUUGGGGCGACGAAGGAUAUUAAACAUCCUUAAUUAUAUAAGACGGUUUUCAUGAGUAGAUAAACUACCUGAGGGAUAACAGCACUAUCUUUUAAGGAUUGUGACCUCGAUGUUGGACUAGGUUAACUUUUAAGCUAGCCGCUUAAAUAGCGCGAUUCUGUUCGAAUUAUAACUACCU